rnacentral:lncRNA from 1 species
GUCAGCCGCAGACAGGAUCCUACAGCCCAGAAGCCGCCUGCUGUAUCAGUCACCUGUUCCAGGAGCAGCUGUCUUUCACACUGCUGUCCGUGUGCCACCGGGAGCAAAGCAGACGGGACAGCUGCCCCCACAGACGGACUCCGCCCCUGAGCGCCCCCUCCCCGCGUCUGAGCCAGGGCGUCCUAGCUUCACGGCCGCCACCUGGAGACCGGCUUUUGCAGAAGAUGGAAGUAAACUGGGAAACAGUUUUCCUUA